rnacentral:lncRNA from 12 species
UUUUACUGCCUACAUCCUUUCAGCCUUUUUUCCUCAAAGUUCCAAUAACUUAAAUAAUACCCUACUUUUUUGGGGGUUUUUGACAUAUUUUGACCUAUUCUGCUCACUUUGAAGUUCCAGCACUUCUAGAAAAUCAAUUCUGGAAAUUUGUCUGACUUUAUACCGGGCUGAGACUAGGAUUUGAACCAUGCAGUACUGGCAUGCUGCACGAGCUGCAGCCCUCCUGAGGAGCUUACUCUCUUCCCACACUGCUGUUCAAAAGGAUAGCAAAGACUUAGUAGAGGAAAGUCAGGCCUCCCUGCUUUCAAUUCAUGGACCCACUGAGAAUGAGAUUCACCAUCUGAUGCUGCUCCACAUCUUGCAGUUCUCACAUCCCCAGUGGUGCUGCCCAGCUUUUGAUUCCUCACCUCAGCAGUGGGACACAAGGUAAAGGGAAGGGGGAGAGAAUGUAUCCAUAGGGAGUGUUGCCUUUCUGCAUGGUGCGGGCAGCCAGAGGGUGCUUUAUUCAGUACAGCAUCACUGGAGCUGAUCCUGUUCCCUUUGGUUAGGAUUUAACAGCUGUGACAAGGAGUAAUUGCUUCAAGUCACAUCUUCGCAUGAUGUGAGACAUGGAUGUUCCAUGUCUGUUCCAAUGGGAUUAUGUGAUUUAUGGCACCAUUAAAAAACACAGUAUAGCUUUAAACUAAAGACACUGAACUUUUAUUCUCCCAUGUAAAAAGGGGAUGCUAAAAAUGAGAAUGAAGAAACUGUGGUUGCUAGCUAUUCUAAU